rnacentral:rRNA from 1 species
AUGCUGCUGUCCGUCUCCCGCUCCGCCGACAAGUUCGCCCCCCUCGCCGGCCUCCGCUCGCUGCUCGCCCCCGACCCCGUCGCCGCGGGCGUCGUGACGCGGACGAUGAUCCCCGCGUCGCCGCCGACGCGCGGCGAGGCCGAUCCGGAGGAGGGCGUCGACGAGGAGGACGAGGGCUGCUGGGUCUCGUACGGCCGGCGGGAGCCCGGACGGCGCCGCCUGCCGCCGCCGAUCCCGUCGCUGGCGGGCCGUAGCGGUCUGCGCCGGGCGCGCACCGAGGACAGGAGGCUCGUCAUCAGCAAGGUGCGCGUCAUGCGGCCGGACUACUACGUCCGAGCGCGCCGCGUGCGCGGCGGCCGCCUCCUCAUGCGCCUCGUCGAGCGCGAGGACGACUGCCCCAGCCAUCCGCUCCCGGCACCCGGCUGCGCCCGCGAAGGCGACGCUGAUCGGGCCGACGAAGCUAUGGCGGUGCAGAGAGACGUAGUCGAUGACGAGCAGGCGGCUGCGGCACCGGCGACGAUGCCCGCAGCUGGAUGCUUCGAGGACGUGGUUAAGUACCAGUACGCCAUCGGUAGCAGCCCGCUGCACCAGAUGCCCUUGCUGAGGAUGGUUCAUUGA